rnacentral:tRNA from 1 species
GCGGGGGUUUCCCAGCCAGGUCAAAGGUAUUUAAAUAAAUAUUAAUGACCGGCAAAAGGAGCUGGACUUAGGAUCCAGUCGCAUAGGCGUUCGUGAGUUCAAAUCUCACCCCCCGCA